rfam:Candidatus Pacebacteria bacterium RIFCSPHIGHO2_01_FTLL_46_10 rifcsphigho2_01_scaffold_36070, whole genome shotgun sequence.
GCGGGUAUUGUAUAGUGGUAAUACGACACCUUGCCAAGGUGUAGCCAGGGGUUCGAUUCCCCUUACCCGCU